AUACACAAAAUCUAUAUACAUAUCAGCCAUGAAAGCCAAACUCUUUUAUCUUUUCUUCAUACUUCUCUUCAUUGUUUCUCCCCUCACAUGUGCUCGGAAACUGUCUAGUAAACCUCAGGGAAACAUGGCUGCUAAUGGCGGCGGUAGGGUUUACAAAGGCCCUCUGAAGAAAGGGCCCCUCUGCAAUUCUAAAAAAUUUGGCAACUGUAUUAAUGGCAAACCACCGCGAAAAAGCGAUCCUUACAGUCGCAACUGCCAUGGGACCACAGAGCCAUAAGCCAUCCAAUUAAACCAGAUUGUUGUGUACUAGAUUUCCUACUCUACCUAUGUUCGAUCAUCAUGUUGGAAUAAUUCGGAAAUGACAAUAAAAACCUAUUAAUGUAAUGUUUGUAUGAUACUAUAUCAGUAUAUUGGCAUAUAUUUUUGAACCAUGGAAA